rnacentral:rRNA from 1 species
GAUGAACGCUGGCGGCGUGCCUAAUACAUGCAAGUCGAGCGAACAGAUAAGGAGCUUGCUCCUUUGACGUUAGCGGCGGACGGGUGAGUAACACGUGGAUAACCUACCUAUAAGACUGGGAUAACUUCGGGAAACCGGAGCUAAUACCGGAUAACAUAUUGAACCGCAUGGUUCAAUAGUGAAAGGCGGCUUUGCUGUCACUUAUAGAUGGAUCCGCGCCGUAUUAGCUAGUUGGUAAGGUAACGGCUUACCAAGGCAACGAUACGUAGCCGACCUGAGAGGGUGAUCGGCCACACUGGAACUGAGACAGGGUCCAGACUCCUACGGGAGGCAGCAGUAGGGAAUCUUCCGCAAUGGGCGAAAGCCUGACGGAGCAACGCCGCGUGAGUGAUGAAGGUCUUCGGAUCGUAAAACUCUGUUAUCAGGGAAGAACAAAUGUGUAAGUAACUGUGCACAUCUUGACGGUACCUGAUCAGAAAGCCACGGCUAACUACGUG